rnacentral:snoRNA from 1 species
UGAGCUAUGAGGAUAAACCUUUAAACAGAAAUUUAUCGUGGUGAAUUAUACGCUAUUCUGAGCCGUAA